GUAUAUUAGACAAAAGUUAUAGGUUGUAGCGCUAUACAUGUCAUUGUGAAUCUGAAGAUGUAAACCAUGAACUAGGGGUGACUUUUAGCCACCAGAUUCGUGGCGAGUCCCUUUUUAACCCCUAUAGGCUGAAAGCAUUUUUUCUUCUGAAAUUAUUGUGUCAAUUUAGCUGACCCUGUUAGAUCCUACUUAUGCCGUUGCAUGAUAUUUUAGAGUUGCAGUGUUUCUUUCCGACAUUCUAGAAGUUCGGUCAAUCGUGGACGAGAGUUAUUUGAAUCCUCAUUGGCCUUUAUGUUUAUUGCUUGUGUACAGUCACACGCUUAACUUAUGUGCGUCUGUGGAUGUAGAUAGUAGCAAAAAGGAAAACGAACGAAAAGGGAGGAAGGUUUUGGGGAAAAACUGCCAAUACUUGCAAAAUCUUCUCUCCAGAACCAUCUGUUAGUUUUUUUUUUGGUUUUUGAGUAUUAUAAUGGAUGGUAAAAACUAGCUACAACAUGUUAAUUACGCUGUUGGUGUAAAAAAAUUUCACACAAUAUAUACGCUGAGAUCCUUCUGAUGAUCGGAAAAAUGGGACUGUUGGGUACUAUUUUGGCAAAAGAUAAUGCUUGGUAUUUGGAAUUAUCACGGAGUUGAAAUUGGGGCUGCUGGAUAAUCAUUGAACUAGUGAAUGCAGCUAUUGUUCCUUGUUGCAGAAAUAAUUAAUUGAUUGUGGCUUACAUUAAUUAGCUCGUAUUAUACUAGUACACUAGGCAGAUGAAAAAAAAAAUACUGGUGCACUAUGGCUAAUAUAUUAAUUGGUGAGAGUUCGAUUCCCUCCUUGUAAUCUUCUCCCAAUUUCCCCUUCCCUACCCCCAUUUUGCCUUUUUUAAAAAAAAAAAAAAAAAAAACUUACCAACUUUAUGUAGAGAACCCUUGGUGUUUAGAGGAACAAAUUUUUAGGGGAAGAACAGAGUUAGUGGAAGCUGAAGUAUACUAAUAUUAGACACGUUAGUCAAUAGUGAAUGGUCCUAACAUAGUCUUCUUUUUUUGUGUCAAUUUUCCUUGCUGGUGGUCACAUGUUUUGGGUGCCAAUUAUUCUCCAUUAUUUGUUUCAACAUUUUGCGUCCCAUACUGGCCUGUCCAUUUUCUGCAAGAUCUUCAAAAUGCUGAAGUAUUGUCUUGUCUGCUUGUUUGAUGCUUAUAUGCAGUCUAAACAUUUGUAGGCCGAAUGUAGAGCUCAUAGACAAGGGCAAACAAAGGGAGUAAAUGUAUAUAUUUUCAUUGGAAAGGAUACUUCAGAUGAGAUUCGGUAGCAAAAACUUAAUACAAGUUUGCGUCAAGUUUCAUCUACAAUGAAUGGAAAGUAUGAUGCUUUGCAGUUACAACCUGGGAGGAAGAUUCCAAAAUCUCGGGUACAGUGAGUGGAAUUAUUCCUUAAGGACACUCCGUAAAGUCGGGGACUUGACUUUACAUUUUUGUUUCAUCUUAAUUUCUGUAAAAUAAAACACACUUCUUAAAAAAAUCACUUUGAUCUUGUGUUGAAGGUGGUUUUGGUACUUCAUAGUGUUCUUGUCUUGAACUUGAACUGGUGUUGAAGUUCGUGUUACUUGUAUACAAAUUCUUGUACCUGAAUACAAAGAAAAUAACAAGAAGUUGGUUACAUUAGACUUAGACAUAAA